rnacentral:rRNA from 1 species
CAGGACGAACGCUGGCGGCGUGCCUAACACAUGCAAGUCGAGCGGAGUUAUAGCAGUUAGCUUGCUAACAGCUAAAACUUAGCGGCGGACGGGUGAGUAACGCGUGAGCAACCUACCUUAUAGAGGGGGAUAACACAUCGAAAGGUGUGCUAAUACCGCAUAACAUUAUUAUCUUGCAUGAGAUAAUAAUCAAAGGAGCAAUCCACUAUAAGAUGGGCUCGCGUCUGAUUAGCUAGUUGGUAGGGUAAAGGCCUACCAAGGCGACGAUCAGUAGCCGACCUGAGAGGGUGAUCGGCCACAUUGGGACUGAGACACGGCCCAGACUCCUACGGGAGGCAGCAGUGGGGAAUAUUGCGCAAUGGGGGGAAACCCUGACGCAGCAACGCCGCGUGAAGGAAGAAGGUUUUCGGAUCGUAAACUUCUUUGAUUAGGGAAGAAUAAAUGACAGUACCUAAAAAACAAGCCACGGCUAACUACGUGCCAGCAGCAGC